rnacentral:rRNA from 1 species
CCUACGGGAGGCAGCAGUGAGGAAUAUUGGUCAAUGGGCGCGAGCCUGAACCAGCCAAGUAGCGUGAAGGAUGACUGCCCUACGGGUUGUAAACUUCUUUUAUAAAGGAAUAAAGUGAGGCACGUGUGCCUUUUUGUAUGUACUUUAUGAAUAAGGAUGGGCUAACUCCGUGCCAGCAGCCGCGGUAAUACGGAGGAUCCGAGCGUUAUCCGGAUUUAUUGGGUGUAAAGGGGGCGUAGAUGGGUUGUUAAGUCAGUUGUGAAAGGUUGCGGCUCAACUGUAAAAUUGCAAUUGAUACUGGCAGUCUUGAGUACAGGUGAGGUAGGCGGAAUUCGUGGUGUAGCGGUGAAAUGCUUAGAUAUCACGAAGAACUCUGAUUGCGAAGGCAGCUUACUAAACUGCCACUGACAUUGAUGCUCGAAAGUGUGGGUAUCAAACAGGAUUAGAUACCCUGGUAGUC